rnacentral:rRNA from 1 species
UACGGAGGGAGCUAGCGUUAUUCGGAAUUACUGGGCGUAAGGCGCACGUAGGCGGCUUUGUAAGUUAGAGGUGAAAGCCUGGAGCUCAACUCCAGAACUGCCUUUAAGACUGCAUCGCUUGAAUCCAGGAGAGGUGAGUGGAAUUCCGAGUGUAGAGGUGAAAUGCGUAGAUAUUCGGAAGAACACCAGUGGCGAAGGCGGCUCACUGGACUGGUAUUGACGCUGAGGUGCGAAAGCGUGGGGAGCAAACAGG